rnacentral:rRNA from 1 species
GACGAACGCUGGCGGCGUGCCUAAUACAUGCAAGUCGAACGCAUUUUCUUUCACCGUAGCUUGCUACACCGAAAGAAAAUGAGUGGCGAACGGGUGAGUAACACGUGGGUAACCUGCCCAUCAGCGGGGGAUAACACUUGGAAACAGGUGCUAAUACCGCAUAAUUCCAUUUACUGCAUGGUAGAUGGAUGAAAGGCGCUUUUGCGUCACUGAUGGAUGGAGUCGCGGUGCAUUAGCUAGUUGGUGGGGUAACGGCCUACCAAGGCUGCGAUGCAUAGCCGACCUGAGAGGGUGAUCGGCCACACUGGGACUGAGACACGGCCCAGACUCCUACGGGAGGCAGCAGUAGUGAAUCUUCGGCAAUGGACGCAAGUCUGACCGAGCAACGCCGAGUGAGUGAAGAAGGUUUUCGGAUCGUAAAACUCUGUUGUUAGAAAAGAACAAGGAUGAGAGUGGAAAGUUCAUCCCUUGACGGUAUCUAACCAGAAAGCCACGGCUAACUACGUG